rnacentral:rRNA from 1 species
AACGAACGCUGGCGGCAUGCCUAACACAUGCAAGUCGAACGAGACCUUCGGGUUUAGUGGCGCACGGGUGCGUAACGCGUGGGAACCUGCCUUUAGGUUCGGAAUAACUCCCCGAAAGGGGUGCUAAUACCGGAUAUUGUCUUCGGACCAUAGAUUUAUCGCCUUUGGAUGGGCCCGCGUUGGAUUAGUUAGUUGGUAGGGUAAAUGCCUACCAAGGCGACGUUCCAUAGCUGGUCAGAGAGGAUGGUCAGCCACACUGGGACUGAGACACGGCCCAGACUCCUGCGGGAGGCAGCAGUGGGGAAUAUAGGACAAUGGGCGGAAGCCUGAUCCAGCAAUGCCGCGUGAGUGAUGAAGGCCUUAGGGUUGUAAAGCUCUUUUACCCGGGAUGAUAAUGACAGUACCGGGAGAAUAAGCUCCGGCUAACUCCGUG